rnacentral:tRNA from 1 species
UCCGGCGUAGCUCAGUUGGUAGAGCAUCGGACUGUUAAUCCGCGGGUCGCAGGUUCGAGUCCUGCCGCCGGAGCCA